ensembl:lncRNA
CGAUAGUGACAUUUCGAGUUUGAGAUUCACUAGAAAUGAAGAACGUAGCCUAUACGCGAGACAAAUAUUUUGGCGGGUGUGUGGACUGCACAUCACAUCAUACCUAUCGCAUGCAGAGCUCAAAGAGACAUGAGGCAGACGGUACAGUAAAGGUAGUCAGUUUUUGUUGUAUUAUAGCUUGGUAGUUAUUUUUUUUAAACCUCACCUGGCUUGAAGCAAUCAGCAUCCAGCUUCUUGUUAAAGCAAAAUCAUACCUAGCAGUAUAGUUCAUCAGGUCAGGGCAGCUUUUUGGGCCUGCAGGAUUAUUAAGCAUUAUCAGACAUGGGUGGUUCUGGUAAAAUGUCUUAGCUGUGACGGUGCUAAAAACCCUUUGGUGUGUUGUGCAGGUGGAGUGUGUGAUUAAAGAGGUGGAGAUCCGCACUAAGUUCAGGCACCUCACCAUGAGCCAGUCCGAAGCAGCUGACCCAUGUCAGACCAAUGCUGGGUCCCGCUGGAAGUCAUUCAAAAGUAAGGGGCAUACCAGACCUGUCAGCACUCUGGCUGACAAAUGCCAAGAGUCUGAUCAGGAUUGCGGGGACGAUGAUCUCUUCGACCUCACCAACAGCUCUCGUAGUUGCCGCGACGGGUGGAUGAAGAGCUCUGAGAGUCCUACAUGGGGUUUGGAUGGAGGUUCGUCCCCAGUCACUUACAGUUUGGUUCUCCUGUCAGACGGCAUUGAGUCGGAGGCAGCGUGCUCAAACGCAGAGUCGGCAGAAAUGGUCCUCGUCUCAGAGAGCGAGGAUGAACCUUUGGACCUGAGCCUGUCGCCAUAUUCAGGCCCCAAUGUAUCUCCUGAACGGAUUAUCUCUCCUGUGACCCACAUGCUGUCCCUUUCUCAGAGCCAAGAGCCCUCAUCGCCGGAGAGCAGUGGGGCAGAGGCUGGCUUGACGUUUAGGAUUGGUUUUAGUGGGAGGGAGUCUGCCCCGACUGGCCGUGGAAGUGAGGGGUUGAUUGUGAUAGGCUGUGAAGAUGAGGACUGUGAGGACGGGAGUGUGUCGGACGGCUCCCACUGCUCCUUCGCCUCGGGCCCCAGCAAACUGCGGAGUCCCAUUCCCCAGAGGCCGUGUGCCAGCUGCCUGAGGCUCCAUGCAAAUAUGAAGAGGCAGCCCAACAGGACGAAGACCAGGGUGAAAGAUCCAGCCUGUUUGGACUAUGACCAGUGGAUGCUGUUAAAACCGUGGCGAAGUCGAGGAGUGCACGGCUUUCCCAGAGUGAGGGGGAAGUUGUUUGAGCAUCUUCCUUUGAUCCGGCGGCGUGCAAAAGUCCGGGCUGAGGAAGACCUAGAGGAUAAAUAUGAAGUCUGUACAAGACCUCAUGUGUUUCUGCAAAGAAACUUUCGACAUUGCCAGAAGUCUCAGCCAAAAUUCCUCAAGCGCAAACAGGUCAGGAAAAGGGCAGGGUCAAGAGGGGGUCGAAGGUCAGCUAACCUCUGGCCCCCAAUUGGGGGCCCUAUAGCGAAGAAGAAGAGGAAGAGCUUGGAGGACUCCAUAAACAAGAAGAGAAAGAGUGUGAGAGAGGAGAAAAAUAUGAGAAGGAGACGAGAGGAGACGAGUGUGACAGAUGAGCAGGACGAAGACAGCAUGCUGCUGGGUAAGGAGCACCCUAGCUAUGACGUCACUGCAGACUGCAGUAUAGAGGAAAAUGCAAACCGGCAAAGUCCAGACAGACGUAUGGACACGAUCACUGACACACAGACAAAUGGAUGCCCUGACAAGCAUGUAAAUGUCAAUGCACAAAGCCACUCAGACAGACACGCAGGUGCUGAUAUAGGCAGUCGGCCACACAGGCGCACAGACAGAAAUGCAGUCGGUAGCUCAGAUGGCCGAGAAGCCAGACUGGGAGACCUUAGGACAGACAGACGCAGAGACAAACAGUGUUCAAACCAAGACUCUGUCUUGAAAGCAGAUGGACAUAGUAAAGUGAAGGCAGUCAAGCAUAUAGUCAGUGGUUCAGACAGGCAUGCAGAUAUAAGCACAUAUAAGCCCAUUAUUCGUCUGGUUAGAUGCGGUAAUGUGAGGGGGGAUUUCAACACAGCAAGACAAAUGGACAGACCCAGGCAGGCGCCACACAGUCCGGAGAGUCGGUCAAACAAUCAUCUCGAGGUUGCUUCAAGCAGGCAUUCAGAUGUAGCCCCAAGCAUUCACUUAAACAGCCCCUCAAUAAUGAUUGGAAACAAAGUCUUGGACGGUGCAGGUAGUCUCGUGGACAGUCGUGUAGAAGUUAGUUCAGACAAACGUGCUGAUUUGAGCUCUUGUGGCAAGGCAGGCGCGGGCCAGACUCGCAGGUCUCUCACAUUUGAAGACCUGCUGAAAAAACCUCCCUCCACCACGCCCAUGAUGAGCGUCUCCAAAGCAACCCCAGUGUUGGGGUCAGAGGACCCAUACACGUUCCGUACCCCAACACCUCCCGGAGCUCAGACUUUCGAAAUGCUCAGGAAGCACCACCCGUUUGCCCGCACCUAUGAGAACACGGGGGCUCGACCAGCUGGCUUCAAGUCCAUGUUGAGCACUCUGGAUCGGAAGCACUGCGCUGUUGUCCGGGAGAACUACCCCUGAGUGGCGAGGGGAUGGUUGGGUGCAGCAGCCAUUGAAGUACACUUAUUGCCUGUUCUGAGCAGUUCAUGCAGUUCUUUGCACCUUAUCUUUAUAGCCUAUGUGGGGAAAAUGUUAAAGUAUUUAUUGUUAUUGUGUUGUGUUGUUAUUGUGUUGAAAUGUGUAUUAUUAGUUGAUCCUUUGUACUUGAAAGAAGCAUUAAGCUUAAUUUUCCUUACUGAUAUCCUAAAUCAGCCUAUAAGUGUGGCUGUCAGACCUGUCUCACAUAAAGUGGAUUGGAUAAAAACAGAGCUUUUUGAAGGGUGUGCAUUGUGUCUCAUUAAUGUUCUAUGAUGCAUUUUGAAAUUGAGAGGAUUUUGUUGGAAAAAGUACUUUGAAGAAAUAAAUAAAACGUUUUUGCAGGUGUUCCUGUUAUU